GAUGAACGCUGGCGGCGUGCCUAAUACAUGCAAGUCGAGCGAACAGACGAGGAGCUUGCUCCUCUCACGUUAGCGGCGGACGGGAGAGUAACACGUGUAUAACCUACCUAUAAGACUGGGAUAACUUCGGGAAACCGGCGCUAAUCCCGUAUAAUCUAUUGCAGCGCAUUGUUCAUUAGUGAAAGUCGGUUUUUCUGGCACUUAUAGCUGGAUCCGCGCCGCAUUAGCUAGUUGGGAAGGUAACGGCUUACCAAGGCUACCAUGCGUAGCCGACCUGAGAGGGUGAUCGGCCACCCUGGAACGUGGACAGGGUCCAGGCUCCUACGGGAGGCAGCAGUAGGGAAUCUUCCGCAAUGGGCGAAAGCCUUACGGAGCAACGCCGCGUGAGUGAUGAAGGUCUUCGGAUCGUAAAACUCUGUUAUUGGGGAAGAACAAAUGUGUAAGUAAAUAUGCACGUCUUGACGGUACCUAAUCAGAAAGCCACGGCUAACUACGUG
rnacentral:rRNA from 1 species